UUUAGAUCAUGUCUCUUGGUCUACAUACAAGCACAGAGAACAGACAUCCAACUCCAGUUCCGAAACUGUGUAAGGAAUUUAACGGCCAUUUGAAAUCGGCAACACAAGUGGCAAUAGCGUGGCGCUGCAAUCGGUUAAUUUCCCAUACACGCUAAGAUCAGUUUACCCAUAAAUGAGUAGUUUAUUUACCCAUAUUUGGGUUUCAUAUGCAUUACUCAUAUUAUGGGUAAAAUAUACUGAGAAAAACCGGUAAACAAUACUCAUUUUGUUGGUAAAGUGAGUUUACUCAGAUAUGGGUAAACGUGAUUUACCCAUAUUUGGAUGAAAAUUUUCCUGUUAGUCGCGAUCAGCAAAGUUGUUUGAAAGCAGCAGCAGUGACUAUGUGAGAAUACCAUGGCUAGGAGAAAUUCGUAAGUCCGCCUUGAUCAUCGACGGAAGGAUAAAAUCAUCAUGUUCAUCAUAAGCGGCAAAAGAUCCGGGAUGCGCGCGAUAAGCUGGUUGUAAUCACACGGAACAGCGGUAACUCCCGGUUGAGAUUGCUUAAUCGCAAGUGAAAUCUGCCUCCGGCGCCGCCGCCGCCCGGCAAAGGACGUUGAAAAAGCGUUCCGGUGAGGAUCAUCCGAGAGGUAAUGUUCACGUUGACUAAAUGGCCGUCGAUCACAACAAGGAAGUGGACAUCCGUCAUCAGGACCCCUAGAGCGAAAGGUACGGAAUGAGAUGUUUUCCGUAAUCAGUACGAGGGCACCGUUGCAAACGCCAGAAUAUUCGCAGCUUCAACGCUGUCCUCAUGAAACAACUAUCCUUUCAAUUUCUAUGAAGUGCAUGCACACCAACCGGCCGUCGUGUCCAAGGCAUCUCCCCGUUGGCUCCGAUUCCACGGUGUACGAUGGCAUUCCGCCGCAUCGUGGGAUAUCGUGGGUCGUGGGAUCUCCGACACCACCCCGAGCACCACCUCCUCCGAUGUACGAGGAUUGACCACAGCUGUCGUAGACGAUGCGAGCGAGCGCGCAAUUUUAUCGAACCAAUUUUGUUCUAUUGCUGUAAUAAUAUGUACUAGUGUGCUGAUGAUUAGAAUAAAGUUUCUUGUUUCUUUUUCUUCAUUUAA